GGGGGCCUACGGGAGGCAGCAGUGGGGAAUAUUGCACAAUGGGGGGAACCCUGAUGCAGCGACGCCGCGUGGGUGAAGGAGUAUUUCGGUAUGUAAAGCCCUAUCAGCAGGGAAGAACAAUGACGGUACCUGACUAAGAAGCACCGGCUAAAUACGUGCCAGCAGCCGCGGUAAUACGUAUGGUGCAAGCGUUAUCCGGAUUUACUGGGUGUAAAGGGAGCGCAGGCGGCGCGUUAAGCCUGGUGUGAAAGCCCGCCGCCCAACCACGGGACUGCCUUGGGAACUGUCGCGCUG
rnacentral:rRNA from 1 species